AGCUAGGUUUUACUUUUUAAAAAAGUCUUAUUUAUUAUUUGAAAUUCAGAGUUACACACAGAGAGGAUGAGAGGCAGAGGCAGAAUGGCAGAGAGAGAGAGAGGGAGAGGUUAUCCAUCUGCUGGUCCACUCCACAGUUGGCUGCAAUGGCUGGCGCUGAGAGGAUUCAGGGUGAGGAGCUAGGAGCAAGGAGCCUCCCUGGGGUCUCCUGCAUGGGGACAGGUCCCCAGGACUUGGGCCAUCUUCGACUGCCUUCCCAGACCAUAGCAGAGAACUGCAUCAGAAGUGGACCAGCUGGGACUCGAACCGGCGUCAUAUGGGAUGCUGGCACUGCAGGCAGUGGCUUGACCCGCUAUCCCCCAGCGCCGGCCCCUCCCAGAAGCUGUUCCCCCUGGGAUCCAGCUGUCUGCUAACAUGCCUGGGAAAGCAGAGGGAGACGGCCCAAGGACUUAAGCCCCUGAACCCAGAAUGGAGCACCAGAAAAAAGUCCUUGGCUUCUUCUUUGGCCUGUCCCAGCCCUGGCCUUUGUAGCCACCUGAGGGGUGAACCCGCAGAUGGACGAUCACUGAGAGAGAGAGAAAGAGUGCUGGCGAUGCCCCCUGUACUGCUUCUCUCCCCAAACGGCUUUGACGGCCAGCACUGGAUCAGGCAGAAGUCAGGAGGCAGGAGCUCCAUUCAGGACUCCCACGAGGGAGGGAGGGAGGCAGGGAGGCAGGGAGGCAGGGAGGCAGGAGGCAGCGAGCCAGGGUCCAGAGUACCCAGGCCUCAGCGGCUGCCUCCCUGGAUCACAACCUGGAGCAAGAGCAGCUGACUGAGGCGGGCCUGUGGUUUCGGGCGCUGGAUGCGGCAGUGCACAGAUGCGUCCCGUGGCGCCAUGGCGAUGGCCAGUGAGGAGUGCGCCUGCGCCCGGUGCUUUGACCCGGAAGUGCACCCACAGGCGUGGCCGCUUCUGCCCUCAGUGCAUGGGUGCGAGUCAGGGCCGUGCCCACUCCUGCCCACGGCUUGAGCGAGCCUUGAGGAGCCGUCUUUGACGCUGGUGGCCAAACCUGAGGAGUCCAGGGCCUCCCAGGCUCAGGCCAGGAUCAGACUGCACACAUGGAGGAGAAAGCAGAAGCUUAGAGAAACGCCAAGAAUCCCUCUGUGCUCUGUUCCAGCCUGUCCAAAAUUCUGACACCUCACACCCCUUCUGGAAGCAAUGGCUGUCCCGCCAGCAGACCAGGCCCCCUUGGAGUGGUGAUACCAGUUUACAUUCCCACCAGCAGUGGAUUAGGGUGCCUUUUCCCUCACAUCUUCAAGGUAGAGUUAUAGAAAGUGAGAGAGAGAGAGACAGAGAGAAAGGUCUUCCUUCCGCUGAUUCACUCCCCAAAUGGCCGCCAUGACCGGCGCUGCACUGAUCUGAAGCCAGGAGCCAGGUGCUUCUUCCUGGUCUUUCACAUGGGAGAUGCCUGGGGUGGGGGUGUCCCCCAUUGGAUUCUAGUCUGAGGGAGUCUUCCAUGAUGGAAGUAGAUCUGUGUGUGAAAUGGAUACAUGAGUGUUGAGGGAGACGUUGGUUAACAGAUGGACAUUGCAGCCAUCCGGCACAGUGGGAUGCCUGCAUCCCACACUGGAGUUGGUUUGAGUUCAGGCUCCUCUUCUUCUGAUCCAGCUUCCUGUGAAUGCGCUCCAUGGGUCCCUGCCACUCACGCGGAGACAGGGUUUGAGCUUUGGGCCGAGCACCACCUUGGCUGUGUCACACCAGGAGCAGAAGAAGCUGACUGAAGUG